rnacentral:rRNA from 1 species
UACAGAGGUCCCAAGCGUUGUUCGGAUUCACUGGGCUUAAAGGGCGCGUAGGCGGGCGGGCAAGUCAGGGGUGAAAUCCCACGGCUCAACCGUGGAAGGGCCCUUGAUACUGCUCAUCUCGAGGGAGGUAGGGGCGUGCGGAACUUCCGGUGGAGCGGUGAAAUGCGUAGAUAUCGGAAGGAACACCGGUGGCGAAAGCGGCGCGCUGGACCUCUUCUGACGCUGAGGCGCGAAAGCCAGGGGAGCAAACGGG